rnacentral:sRNA from 1 species
GCAGCGGCACAUCUUUCCUGAAUUGCCCUUAGAACUUUCUGUAUUGGCGAGGGGGAAGAAAUAUUGCGGUGUCGAUGCUUGAUGUUGCAUGAGAAUACAGUUUGAACAUUGAUUGAGCCCGGAUCGCAAAGGUCCGGGCUUCUUUCGACU